rnacentral:rRNA from 1 species
AGUGAACGCUGGCGGUAGGCCUAACACAUGCAAGUCGAACGGCAGCACAGUAAGAGCUUGCUCUUACGGGUGGCGAGUGGCGGACGGGUGAGGAAUACAUCGGAAUCUACUUUUUCGUGGGGAUAACGUAGGGAAACUUACGCUAAUACCGCAUACGACCUACGGGUGAAAGCAGGGGAUCUUCGGACCUUGCGCGAUUGAAUGAGCCGAUGUCGGAUUAGCUAGUUGGCGGGGUAAAGGCCCACCAAGGCGGCGAUCCGUAGCUGGUCUGAGAGGAUGAUCAGCCACACUGGAACUGAGACACGGUCCAGACUCCUACGGGAGGCAGCAGUGGGGAAUAUUGGACAAUGGGCGCAAGCCUGAUCCAGCCAUACCGCGUGGGUGAAGAAGGCCUUCGGGUUGUAAAGCCCUUUUGUUGGGAAAGAAAAGCAGCAGGUUAAUACCCCGCUGUUCUGACGGUACCCAAAGAAUAAGCACCGGCUAACUUCGUG